UACGUAGGGGGCGAGCGUUAUCCGGAUUUACUGGGCGUAAAGCGUGUUAAGGCUGUUGGCAAAGUUGAUGGUGAAAUUGCAGGGCUCAACCCUGCAACUGCCGUCAAUACUGGUCGACUAGAGUGCAAGAGAGGAAAGUGGAAUUCCCGGUGUAGUAGUGAAAUGCGUAGAUAUCGGGAGGAACACCAGUGGCGAAGGCGGCUUUCUGGCUUGCAACUGACGCUGUAGCACGAAAGCGUGGGGAGCGAACAGG
rnacentral:rRNA from 1 species